rnacentral:rRNA from 1 species
CCUACGGGAGGCAGCAGUGAGGGAUAUUGCUCAAUGGGGGAAACCCUGAUCCAGCGACGCCGCGUGAGCGAAGACGGUUUUCGGAUUGUAAAGCUCUGUCCGCUGGGAAGAAAAUGACGGUAGCUGAGCAGGAAGCUCCGGCUAACUACGUGCCAGCAGCCGCGGUAAUACGUAGGGAGCAAGCGUUAUCCGGAUUUACUGGGUGUAAAGGGUGCGUAGGCGGCCGUGCAAGUCAGAUGUGAAAUCCAUGGGCUUAACCCGUGAACUGCAUUUGAAACUGUAGGGCUUGAGUGACGUAGGGGCAGGCGGAAUUCCCGGUGUAGCGGUGAAAUGCGUAGAGAUUGGGAGGAACACCAGUGGCGAAGGCGGCCUGCUGGGCUUUAACUGACGCUGAGGCACGAAAGCGUGGGUAGCAAACAGGAUUAGAUACCCUUGUAGUC